AAGUUGAUCAUGGCUCAGAAUCACGCUGGCGGCGUGCCUAACACAUGCAAGUCGAACGCGACUGAGGGCUUCGGUUCUUGGUUGAGUGGCGAACGGGUGAGUAACACGUGGGUGAUCUACCUUCGAGCGGGGGAUAACGUUCCGAAAGGAACGCUAAUACCGCAUGACGUCCUGGGUUUAAAGACCUGGAGACCAAAGCUAGGGACCGCAAGGCCUGGCACUUGAAGAGGAGCCCGCGUCCGAUUAGCUAGUUGGCGGGGUAACGGCCCACCAAGCGACGAUCGGUAGCCGGCCUGAGAGGGCGGACGGCCACACUGGGACUGAGACACGGCCCAGACUCCUACGGGAGGCAGCAGUGGGGAAUUGUUCACAAUGGGCGCAAGCCUGAUGACGCAACGCCGCGUGGGGGAUGAAGGUCUUCGGAUCGUAAACCCCUGUCGAAUGGGACGAAUAGCUCGCGAAUUAAUACCUCGUGGGAAUGACGGUACCGUUAAAGGAAGCCACGGCUAACUCUGUGCCAGCAGCCGCGGUAAUACAGAGGUGGCAAGCGUUGUUCGGAAUUACUGGGCGUAAAGGGCGCGUAGGCGGCCAUCUAAGUCAGACGUGAAAUCCCCCGGCUCAACCUGGGAACUGCGUCUGAUACUGGGAGGCUAGAGUUUGGGAGAGGGAUGUAGAAUUCCAGGUGUAGCGGUGAAAUGCGUAGAUAUCUGGAGGAAUACCGGUGGCGAGGCGGCAUCCUGGACCAUACUGACGCUGAGGCGCGAAGCUAGGGGAGCAAACGGGAUAGAUA
rnacentral:rRNA from 1 species